UACGUAGGGUGCGAGCGUUAAUCGGAAUUACUGGGCGUAAAGGGCGCGUAGGCGGCCUUCUAAGUCGAACGUGAAAUCCCUGGGCUCAACCCAGGAACUGCGUCCGAUACUGAAAGGCUUGAAUCCGGGAGAGGGAUGCGGAAUUCCAGGUGUAGCGGUGAAAUGCGUAGAUAUCUGGAGGAAUACCGGUGGCGAAGGCGGCAUCCUGGACCGGCAUUGACGCUGAGGAGCGAAAGCCAGGGGAGCAAACGGG
rnacentral:rRNA from 1 species